rnacentral:rRNA from 1 species
GGAUUAGAUACCCUGGUAGUCCACGCCGUAAACGAUGUCAACUAGCCGUCGGGUUCAUUUAGGAAUUUGGUGGCGUAGCUAACGCGAUAAGUUGACCGCCUGGGGAGUACGGCCGCAAGGUUAAAACUCAAAGGAAUUGACGGGGGCUCACACAAGCGGUGGAGGAUGUGGUUUAAUUCGAAGCAACGCGUAGAACCUUACCAGGUCUUGACAUUCUAGGAUUAAAUUGGUGAAAGCCGAUGGAUUGCCCAUCUCGGGUGUAACUAGAACAGGUGCUGCAUGGCUGUCGUCAGCUCGUGUCG